UACGGGGGGGGCAAGCGUUGUUCGGAAUUACUGGGCGUAAAGGGCUCGUAGGUGGCCAACUAAGUCAGACGUGAAAUCCCUCGGCUUAACCGGGGAACUGCGUCUGAUACUGGAUGGCUUGAGUUUGGGAGAGGGACGCGGAAUUCCAGGUGUAGCGGUGAAAUGCGUAGAUAUCUGGAGGAACACCAAUAGCGAAGGCAGCUCGCUGGGACGUUACUGACACUGAGGCGCGAAAGCGUGGGGAGCGAACAGG
rnacentral:rRNA from 1 species